AAAAUACUCUAUCCCCUCUGGCAUUCAGAUAAUGUGUGUUUCAUUUAGCCUGGUCUCCCAGUGUGUUAAUAUUGUGCUCUGAACCUCCAGGCAUCCUCCUGUGUAUGAAUAAGGUGAGACCCAGGAGAGACCCCUCUCUCCCCUUUCUGUCUUCACCCCUCUCUCCCCUUUCUGUCUUCACCAUUCUCUCCCCUUUCUGUCUUCACCCCUCUCUCCCCUUUCUGUCUUCACCAUUCUCUCCCCUUUCUGUCUUCACCCCUCUCUCCCCUUUCUGUCUUCACCCCUCUCUCCCCUUUCUGUCUUCACUCCUCUCUCCCCUUUCUGUCUUCACCCCUCUCUCCCCUUUCUGUCUUCACCCCUCUCUCCGCUCUCUGUCUUCUCCCCUCUGUAUAUCUCUCUUUCUCCUCUGUCUCGACUCCUCUCUCUAUAUCUCUUUCUCCCCCUCUCACUUAUCUCUCUUUCUCCCCUCUCUCUACUCUCCUCUCUCUAUCUCUUUCUCCCCUCUCUCUACUCUCCUCUCUCUAUCUCUCUUUCUCCCCUCUCUCUACUCUCCUCUCUCUAUCUCUCUUUCUCCCCUCUCUCUAGUCUCCUCUCUCUCUUUCUCCCCUCUCUCUACUCUCCUCUCUCUAUCUCUCUUUCUCCCCUCUCUCUACUCUCCUCUCUCUAUCUCUCUUUCUCCCCUCUCUCUUCUCCACUCUCUCCCCUCUCUGGCUUCACCCCUCUCUAUAUCUCUUCUCCUCUCUAUAUAUAUCUUUCUCCCUCUCUCUUUAUAUAUUUUUCUCCCCUCUCUCUACUCUCCUCUCUCUAUCUUUCUUUCUCCCCUCUCUCUUUCUCUCCCCUCUCUUCUCCCCUCUCUCUAUCUCUUUGUCUCCACUCUCUCUCUCUCUGUCUUUCCCCCCUCUGUCUUCUCCCCUCUCUCUAGCUCUCUAUCUCCCCUCUCUCUUUCUCUCCCCUCUCUUCUCCCCUCUGUCUUCUCCCCUCUAUAUAUAUAUCUCUCUCCCCCCUCUCUCUCUUUCUCCCCCUCUCUUUUCCCCCUGUCUCUUCUCCCCUAUCUCUGUCUUCAUCUCUCUUUCUCCCAUCUUUCUCUCUUACUACCCUCUCUCACUCUCUCUUUCUCUAGCUCUCU
rnacentral:lncRNA from 1 species